rnacentral:rRNA from 1 species
ACAUGCCUACAACAUAGCAUUAAUGCACCGGAUCCCAUUAGAACUUCACAGUUAAACACGCUCAGGCUAGAGUAGUACUAGGAUGGGUGACCACCCAGGAAGUCCUAUUGUUUUACAUGCA